UCGAUUACCCGCUGAACUUAAGCAUAUCAAUAAGCGGAGGAAAAGAAACCAACAGGGAUUGCCUUAGUAACGGCGAGUGAAGCGGCAAAAGCUCAAAUUUGAAAUCUGGCACCUUCGGUGUCCGAGUUGUAAUUUGAAGAAGGUAACUUUGGUGUUGGCCCUUGUCUAUGUUCCUUGGAACAGGACGUCACAGAGGGUGAGAAUCCCGUGCGAUGGGGUGUCCAAUGCUAUGUAAAGUUCCUUCGAAGAGUCGAGUUGUUUGGGAAUGCAGCUCUAAGUGGGUGGUAAAUUCCAUCUAAAGCUAAAUAUUAGCGAGAGACCGAUAGCGAACAAGUACAGUGAUGGAAAGAUGAAAAGAACUUUGGAAAGAGAGUGAAAAAGUACGUGAAAUUGUUGAAAGGGAAGGGCUUGAGAUCAGACUUGGUAUUUUGUUUCGGCAGUUUACCGGGCCAGCAUCAGUUUGGAUGGUAGGAUAAUGGCGAAGGAAUGUGGCUCUGCUUCGGUAGAGUGUUAUAGACUUUGUUGAUACUGCCUAUCUAGACUGAGGACUGCGUCUUUGACAAGGAUGUUGGCAUAAUGAUCUUAAGCCACCCGUCUUGAAACACGGACCAGG
rnacentral:rRNA from 1 species